GUGGGUGUAGCUCAGUUGGUAGAGCAUCAGAUUGUGGCUCUGGGGGCCGAGGGUUCAAAUCCCUCCACUCACC
rnacentral:tRNA from 1 species